rnacentral:rRNA from 1 species
UACGGAGGAUCCGAGCGUUAUCCGGAUUUAUUGGGUUUAAAGGGAGCGUAGGCGGAGGAUCAAGUCAGCUGUGAAAUGUAGUCGCUCAACGUCUGCACUGCAGUUGAAACUGGUCCCCUUGAGUGCGUAAGGGGCAGGCGGAAUUCGUCGUGUAGCGGUGAAAUGCUUAGAUAUGACGAAGAACUCCGAUCGCGAAGGCAGCCUGCCGGGCCGCGACUGACGCUGAAGCUCGAAGGUGCGGGUAUCGAAC